rnacentral:lncRNA from 1 species
GAUUUAUGAAGGACAGAAGAAAGACAAAAGUGCUUGUCCAGGAAGGAAAUGCGUUCCUGUUUGGCUUCUCACAGGGACACAGGACUCAGAAACGGCUGCUUCCUGGACUGGGCUGUCCACUAUCACUAUCAUCCACCACAUUCAACAUGGGAACCACAAGUGAUCAAAAAUGCAAAGUGCAGCUCUAGCUGUUCCUGGCAGAGAGCCGAAGGGAGCCGGUGUCACACCUACAGCGAAGGAGGACCCUGUGGCACGGGGAGGUCGCCGCACUCCCAGCCUCGAGGCCCACAGGUGUCCAGCCAAGGAAACCAUGAGCGUAAGCCAAAUGAAGUGACAAUCUCACACCGCACUGUAGGGUGGAAGACUGUCGGGGCUGGGUCCGGAGUGUGUGGUCAGUCUGCCUAACACGGAAGAAAGGUAUCCAGGGCAGGAACUUGUCUCCGCUGUUAAG